UGACAGAGCAGGGUAAGUGUCCACCUGUUCAGAAACAGUUAGCCACAUCACCUGCAAAUGGUGGCAUGGGACCUCUGGUCUCAUAACCAUUACAGCACACUGUAGGAAUUAUCGUGAUUAGAGUAUUAAAGCGGAUAAUAAUGUUAAUAUUACUCAAAUAAAGAGAUAUCUCCUCUGUGUUUCUCAUUGGCUUGACAGUUAGCACAUUAAUUAACU